AGCGAACGCUGGCGGCAGGCCUAACACAUGCAAGUCGAACGAAGCCUUCGGGCUUAGUGGCGGACGGGUGAGUAACACGUGGGAACGUACCUUUUGGUUCGGAAUAACGCAGAGAAAUUUGCGCUAAUACCGAAUGAGCCCUUCGGGGGAAAGAUUUAUCGCCGAAAGAUCGGCCCGCGUUGGAUUAGGUAGUUGGUGGUAAAGGCGCACCAAGCCUACGAUCCAUAGCUGGUCUGAGAGGAUGAUCAGCCACACUGGGACUGAGACACGGCCCAGACUCCUACGGGAGGCAGCAGUGGGGAAUCUUGCGCAAUGGGCGAAAGCCUGACGCAGCCAUGCCGCGUGAAUGAUGAAGGUCUUAGGAUUGUAAAAUUCUUUUACCAGGGACGAUAAUGACGGUACCUGGAGAAAAAGCCCCGGCUAACUUCGUGCCAGCCGCCGCGGUAACAC
rnacentral:rRNA from 1 species